rnacentral:rRNA from 1 species
CGGACGAACGCUGGCGGCGUGCUUAACACAUGCAAGUCGAACGGGAGUAUUGAAGAAGCUUGCUUUAGAGAUACUUUAGUGGCGGACGGGUGAGUAACGCGUGAGGAGCUGUCCUAUGCAGGGGGACAACAGCUGGAAACGGCUGCUAAUACCCCAUAAGCCGAGAGGUAAAAGGAUCAAUCCGGCAGAGGAGGUACUCGCGUCCUAUCAGCUAGUAGGUGAGGUAACGGCUCACCUAGGCGAAGACGGGUAGCCGGCCUGAGAGGGCGAACGGCCACACUGGAACUGAGAUACGGUCCAGACUCCUACGGGAGGCAGCAGUGGGGAAUAUUGGGCAAUGGGGGAAACCCUGACCCAGCGACGCCGCGUGGGUGAAGAAAUCCUUCGGGAUGUAAAGCCCUGUUGUAUGGGAAGAGCGGAAGACGGUACCAUACGAGGAAGCCCCGGCAAACUACGUG